GGCCGCGCGGGGGGGGGGGAGGGGUUGAGAUGAGCGUACUACUCCCCAAUAUGGCGGACUUCGACACUAUCUAUGAGCUGGAGGAGGAGGAAGAGGAGGAGGAGGAGUCCGAACCUGUGGUGCGGAGCCAGGAGCUGCCCCGGCCCCGCGAUGCGCCGGAUCCCGUAGCGGUACGGGGUGCCGGGCACAUCACCGUGUUUGGCUUGAGCAACAAGUUUGAUACAGAAUUUCCUUCUGUUCUGACAGGGAAGGUUGCCCCAGAAGAAUUCAAGACCAGCAUCAGUCGUGUGAAUGCCUGUUUAAGAAAGAAUCUCCCUGUCAAUGUAAAAUGGCUGCUUUGUGGCUGUCUGUGCUGCUGCUGCACACUGGGCUGUAGCCUGUGGCCUGUAGUCUGUCUUAACAAAAGAACUAGAAGAUCAAUUCAGAAGUUAUUAGAAUGGGAAAAUAACAGACUGUAUCAUAAGCUUGGUUUGCACUGGAAGCUGAGUAAAAGGAAAUGCGAAACUAGCAAUAUGAUGGAAUAUUUUGCCCGAUCUCAGGAAGGGAAGUAAUUGUAGAAAAACUUCUGUAAUGGCUGGCCGAAGCAAGACCACUUGAUAAUAGAUGAGUGUUAACUGGAAGCAGAGAAAAUACUUAAUGGCAGAAAAAUGCAGUGUAAACCAAAACUGAAAUAGCACAUCCAAUUCUAUGUAUUUCCCUUACAAAUCAGUUUCUGGAGUAAAUGAAGGGAGCUUGGCUUAAUUAACAGAACAAUGGAAGUUUCUUACUGUUAUGCCAGAACUUUGUUAGUAAUUUUCUUUUUUUGUGUGUGUGUAAGAAACUCAAGAAAUCUCAGCAGGUUCUUAUUUUCUUCUUUAUGUGACUAUAUUUUCAAAACGUUCUUUUCCAACUGAGAGAACAGGCAAGCUGAAUGAGAGGUCUAGUAAUUGCUAGUGGUGAAUGCUGAGCAGUCUUCAGUCUCGCUGCUAAAAGAAAUCCUGUUCAGUCUGUGCUGACUUCAUCAUACUCAGUUGAAAAUUUCUCAAACUGAUUUGUCUUGUUUCUGUGAAAUGCUGUGCCAAACUGAGAGAAUACCCUGAGCUACAGGAGCCCCUAGUCCCUCUGGGCUGUUCCCUGGCCACCCCGUGCUGCGAUAUGACCAGAGAUCCAAGGCAGAACAAGAUCACGGCUUUUGCUUUCCCACCCUCAUCCCUUUGUCCCCUUCCUGUGGGCCUGGCCACGUCCAGUGCCACAGGCUGCUCUGCCCGCAGCAGAUUGUCUGCCUCUGAGUCUCUCCUGGGCACUAAAGCACAGAAUAAUUAGUUUUUAAAGUUUACAUUUUAAGUAUGUAAAUUCUAUACAUUUUACUUUGUCCUUAAUUGUUAAUUGUAUAGUCUUCAAACCAUGAAAGGGUCUCUUCUUUUUGUGUUUUAAUAGACAUUUAAGUAUGUGGCCAUAAAGUAACUAGUAAAGAAUAAGAGCGCCAAAACUGCCAUUUACAGUAAACUGUAACGUUUUAAUAAGUAGAUAAAUUUGCAUUAAAAUGCAAAACCAGCAAGCAGUAUUAUAUUUGCAUCUGAAAGACACAGGUUCUGUAGCUCAUUUAAAGAUGAAGGCAGCUGUAAGUACUACUCUGAAGUCUGUGCACUUCGGCUCUGCCUACAGGUUCUUUUUUGCCUGGGCUAUCCUUUGCUUUAAUAUAAAGACAUUCAGGUGUAAUUGUAUCUCACGAGACUGAAAAUCUCAUUUUUGACAAUAAGUCAGCAUUAAUUGGUAAACGUAUUUAUGGAGGAUACUUGUUAAUUGGAGAAAGAAUUUGUAGCAAUAUAACAGAGAUUAAUGUUAGCAAAGUGUAGUGGAAGUGGUAAAGAAAGUGCCUUGACUGGUUCUAACAAAAGAGAAAGCAUUGUGCAGAGAGUGAGGAGAAAAGGGAACUAGUAAGUCUCAGUAGUGUGAGUUUGCAGCAGAUCUUUAAAAGCAGUUACUGUCUACCAAAUCAGUGUUUAAUUUUUCAUAUAAAGAUGUUGACACUAACUUUCCUUUCUAGUUUUUAUCUAGGAAAUAUUUGGGUUUCUAUCUAGUAAGUUUUGUAUCUAAGGACUAUUGAAGUAUUAAAGAAUACUGGCAGAGCAUCAAAGCUCUUACCUACUGUUUCCCACCUGCAUCUGUGAAGUUGUUUUACCAUAGGAGGAAAAAAAGUGUUCCAAGGCAUGCACAGGCAAGUCUAGGAAGUGUGGAUUGAGUUGUAGAUGGGUGACUUUAAAACGGGAAACAUUUUUGCUAAAUCUGGUGUGGUCUUGAUAAAUAAAAAAAAGUUCCUAUGCUUUUCUUGAUAGGUACAAAACUCCAUAUGCAAAAACAUAAAUAUAUGUAUAUGAUUGUCCCACUAUGACAGUUUUUACUACAUUCACUUGUCAACACACUACCAUUGGAGCAAUAAAAAUGUCAAGCUAUUAAUACUCAAUGUAAAUAAUUUAUCAUUUUAGUAAGUAAUGUUAUGUGAUUCUUCUGCCUUUUUUUUUUUCUGUUUUUGGUGUUCUUAUGGUGUUGUAACAUUACUUGUACUGCUUAAGAAAAGUGGUUUUGUUUAAGCUGUAUGAAACUUUGUGUUCUUAACAUUUUUAUUCUGUUUACAAGUGAACAGCCGCUUUUUUAAUAGGACCUCACAUCUUGAGACUUUUUUUUUUUUAAUUAAAAUAAAAUUCUAACUGAGCUCGAUUUCUACAAUUUACUGCACUGGCUUGUGCCAUUAAAAGAAGCUGGAAGUCAGACAUGCUUAAUCACUUUGAGACAUUUUUCUUUAAUUAAAUUUAAAGAUGAAAACCUU